rnacentral:rRNA from 1 species
GACGAACGCUGGCGGCGUGCCUAAUACAUGCAAGUCGAACGAACUCUGGUAUUGAUUGGUGCUUGCAUCAUGAUUUACAUUUGAGUGAGUGGCGAACUGGUGAGUAACACGUGGGAAACCUGCCCAGAAGCGGGGGAUAACACCUGGAAACAGAUGCUAAUACCGCAUAACAACUUGGACCGCAUGGUCCGAGCUUGAAAGAUGGCUUCGGCUAUCACUUUUGGAUGGUCCCGCGGCGUAUUAGCUAGAUGGUGGGGUAACGGCUCACCAUGGCAAUGAUACGUAGCCGACCUGAGAGGGUAAUCGGCCACAUUGGGACUGAGACACGGCCCAAACUCCUACGGGAGGCAGCAGUAGGGAAUCUUCCACAAUGGACGAAAGUCUGAUGGAGCAACGCCGCGUGAGUGAAGAAGGGUUUCGGCUCGUAAAACUCUGUUGUUAAAGAAGAACUUAUCUGAGAGUAACUGUUCAGGUAUUGACGGUAUUUAACCAGAAAGCCACGGCUAACUACGUGCCAGCAGCCGCGGUAAUACGUAGGUGGCAAGCGUUGUCCGGAUUUAUUGGGCGUAAAGCGAGCGCAGGCGGUUUUUUAAGACUGAUGUGAAAGCCUUCGGCUCAACCGAAGAAGUGCAUCGGAAACUGGGAAACUUGAGUGCAGAAGAGGACAGUGGAACUCCAUGUGUAGCGGUGAAAUGCGUAGAUAUAUGGAAGAACACCAGUGGCGAAGGCGGCUGUCUGGUCUGUAACUGACGCUGAGGCUCGAAAGUAUGGGUAGCAAACAGGAUUAGAUACCCUGGUAGUCCAUACCGUAAACGAUGAAUGCUAAGUGUUGGAGGGUUUCCGCCCUUCAGUGCUGCAGCUAACGCAUUAAGCAUUCCGCCUGGGGAGUACGGCCGCAAGGCUGAAACUCAAAGGAAUUGACGGGGGCCCGCACAAGCGGUGGAGCAUGUGGUUUAAUUCGAAGCUACGCGAAGAACCUUACCAGGUCUUGACAUACUAUGCAAAUCUAAGAGAUUAGACGUUCCCUUCGGGGACAUGGAUACAGGUGGUGCAUGGUUGUCGUCAGCUCGUGUCGUGAGAUGUUGGGUUAAGUCCCGCAACGAGCGCAACCCUUAUUAUCAGUUGCCAGCAUUAAGUUGGGCACUCUGGUGAGACUGCCGGUGACAAACCGGAGGAAGGUGGGGAUGACGUCAAAUCAUCAUGCCCCUUAUGACCUGGGCUACACACGUGCUACAAUGGAUGGUACAACGAGUUGCGAACUCGCGAGAGUAAGCUAAUCUCUUAAAGCCAUUCUCAGUUCGGAUUGUAGGCUGCAACUCGCCUACAUGAAGUCGGAAUCGCUAGUAAUCGCGGAUCAGCAUGCCGCGGUGAAUACGUUCCCGGGCCUUGUACACACCGCCCGUCACACCAUGAGAGUUUGUAACACCCAAAGUCGGUGGGGUAACCUUUUAGGAACCAGCCGCCUAAGGUGGGACAGAUGAUUAGGGUG